CACUCUCGGUGUGGAGCCCAGCAACAAGGGUUUUAGCAGUCCCUCCAGGGCAUGCUGGUGUACACUCAAGCUGGAGAACUGACUUCCAGAAGAAAGUCUAUAGCUUUGGACCUGAGGGGUAGAGGUGUGCAACGUCUGAAUUGUGCCCAUAGAAGGAAAGAGGAUGCAUACCUUCUCACUCCCUACUUGCAUUGGUUGGAAUGCAGACACUGUGAUUUUGGACCACACAAACAGACAUCGCCUGGCUUCAGGCUGAUGGUGUGUGAAGGCCUGAAGGACGAGACUGUGAGGAAUUGUGACAUGGGGGGGACCUUUUCAAAAGGCCACUCAGUCAUCACCAUGUACCCAUGUUUCAUGCUCCAGGAGCCUCCAGAUUUCUCACAACAAUGUUUGUUCCUUCAGACCAAGCUAUAU